GGGGAUAUAGCUCAAUUGGGAGAGCAUCUGCUUUGCAAGCAGGGGGUUAGGGGUUCAAUUCCCCUUAUCUCCA
rnacentral:tRNA from 2 species